rnacentral:rRNA from 1 species
GACGAACGCUGGCGGCGUGCUUAACACAUGCAAGUCGAACGGGCCUGUCUUCUUUUUUGGGGGUGGGUUGAGUGGCGAACGGGUGAGUAUCACGUGAGUAACCUGCCCUUCGGUCCUGGAUAACCGCUUGAAAGGGCGGCUAAUACGGGGUGGUCCGGUUGGUCCGCAUGGGCUGGUCGGGAUAGAUUCACUGUUUUUGGUGUUUCGGCGGGGGAUGGGCUCGCGGCCUAUCAGCUUGUUGGUGGGGUGAUGGCCUACCAAGGCGGUGACGGGUAGCCGGCCUGAGAGGGUGGGCGGCCACACUGGGACUGAGGUACGGCCCAGGCUCCUGCGGGAGGCAGCAGUGGGGGGUAUUGCACAAUGGGCGGAAGCCUGAUGCAGCGACGUCGCGUGAGGGAUGGAGGCCUUCGGGUUGUGAACCUCUGUUUCCGGUGGUGAAGGCCCUGUCCGUGUGGUGGGGUUGACGGUAGCCGGGGAUGAAGCGCCGGCUAACUACGUG